AAUUAAUCUUUAAAUAAAAAAAACUUUAAAAAUUAAAAAUUAAAAUAUUUAUUAAAAUUUAUUUUCUUGUGAAUUCUUGGUUAGGGAUAUGUCAAUGUGCGGACAUAUCCCAUACUUUUUGCCUUCCAUAAUCUCUUUGAUUUGGACCAGAAUUGUGUCUUGCUGCAUGAGCAGCUGCUGCUGCUGCAUGAGCAUCUGCUCCAUAUUUAUUGUUGUUUGUGGUGGAGCUGACAAAGGGGAAGAUGUGGUGGAGACAGGGGAGGCAGAGGUUGCUGCAUGCAAUGAAAAAACAGCAAAAUAUUUAAAAAUGAUGGCAUCCUUGCUUUUAACUGAAACUUACCAUUGUGGUCACGCCACCAAUACUUUUUCACAAGGGGCCAGAUGAAAUAUUUUAUGGCUAUCAUCAGUAAGAGGCCGAAAGUGCCUUGCAAGAAUGGUAUUUCUUAUUUUUUUUCAAAACGUCGGCCACAUCAGCAGAAAACUUAUCAGAAAUACGUGUCUUACCUUUCCCAAAGUAGUUUGGGUUGCCACAUCGUAUUAGUAAACUACAACAUGGAAGAAAAUAAGGAAAGGGGACUAUGGUAAGUGAAAUUGAUGUCAUUUUAAAGAAAUCCAUUGAAAUUUUUGCUUUCAAAAUCAGGUACAAUGGCAAGUUAACUAAAGUGGAUCUUCAGUCCCGAACCAAAAGAAAGAUUACUUAGACGCUCAUGCAAGAUUAUUUCGAUUAUGAAAAAUGAACUGCCAUAUGUGAGAUGAAAUAUAAUGAGAUGAAAUGAAUGAAUUAUGAAUGAAUGAAAUAUACAACAACAACAAACAAAUACUUUUCAAAAUUUUUAUUUAGAUAAGGAACCUCGAUUGCAAUCCACCUUCAAGAAAAUACACACGGAAUGUUUGAACAUU